GAUGAACGCUGGCGGCGUGCCUAAUACAUGCAAGUCGAGCGAAUGGAUUAAGAGCUUGCUCUUAUGAAGUUAGCGGCGGACGGGUGAGUAACACGUGGGUAACCUGCCCAUAAGACUGGGAUAACUCCGAGAAACCGGGGCUAAUACCGGAUAACAUUUUGAACCGCAUGGUUCGAAAUUGAAAGGCGGCUUCGGCUGUCACUUAUGGAUGGACCCGCGUCGCAUUAGCUAGUUGGUGAGGUAACGGCUCACCAAGGCAACGAUGCGUAGCCGACCUGAGAGGGUGAUCGGCCGCACUGGGACUGAGACACGGCCCAGACUCCUACGGGAGGCAGCAGUAGGGUAUCUUCCGCAAUGGACGAAAGUCUGACGGAGCAACGCCGCGUGAGUGAUGAAGGCUUUCGGGUCGUAAAACUCUGUUGUUAGGGAAGAACAAGUGCUAGUUGAAUAAGCUGGCACCUUGACGGUACCUAACCAGAAAGCCACGGCUAACUACGUGCCAGCCGCCGCAGUAA
rnacentral:rRNA from 1 species